GGUACCGAAGUUGUCGGAAGUUGAGACGUAAAUAUAAAAGUGAUUAGAUCGAGAUCUAAAAAGUCUGUGUUUUUGGUGGGACAUUACCAGCCUUCAACUAACAGUGGGAGUACCGAGGCUUAAUUUACCAAAAAUGGGAGGGCUGUGGAUCCGUUGGGAUCAUCCGCUGUGAUUGGCUCUCUACCUACAACGCAUGGUGUUUCCACAAAUUCGGUUGUCCAAUAGCAGGCUACGUUUCUUUUCACGGAGUUUGCUACAAGAGCUUUGUGAAAAAGAAAACGCGUGGCGAGGCUAAGCAGAGGUGUGCGGCAGACGGGGGGAUUUUAGCCAUGCCGAAGGACAGUGCCACCAAUACUUUUCUCGCUAAUCUAGCAGAAGUAGGUUGGGGUCGCUGGUUAGGGCUGACUGACACAAACAGCGAUCGGCAGUGGGAAUUUGAAGACGGCCAACCCCUGUCGUCAUCUGAGUACUCCAACUGGCUCCCCGAUGAGCCGACACCAGAUAACGGUCAGGGCGGCUGUGUCGGGUUUUGGGCGGAUGGAUCCUCAUGGGAUGAAAAAGACUGCAGUGCACUGAGGGGAUUCAUAUGUCAGAUAAAUGAAGGUUAAACCAGAGAUUUGGUUCGGGCUACCCAAGUGCGGACAGAAAAGCUAAUCUGAUGGCGACCCUGACAGCAAGUUACCCUGCUGCUCCCACAACCACUGGUGCCUCAUCACUGAGGUCGACCACUGCAACUGUUGUGUCAACUCUUCAUCUACUGAUGAGAGGCCUAUUUUGGGCACCUCUCUUUUUCUAUAUUUUUCUUAGUCAUGAUAUUGUUUAUUACUGGCGUUUACAAAUUCUACUUUCGAACAUGUAACCCCUGACUUCAGGCAAUUUUUUUACAUUCUUUUUUGUUGCUUUUUUGAUUACCUAUUUAGAUACAGGCACACAAUUACAGCUAACAAGUUGGCAAUAUCUAGAGUGUGAGCAGUCCUGAAUUUUAGGAUGAAAUUCUGGGGUGUGGAUCUUGUCAUAGAGGUAGACGCUGUGCCAACAGAUUACUACUUUUUAUUAGCAUUCAUUUACAUACACUGCCAAAAAUAAUUUUGUCUUGUUUUGCUUACCCCAGGGACAAUUCGUAUAUGAAGAAAAAUAUUCUUGAAGGAAGAAAAUGUAGAAUAAAAUUCAAGA